rnacentral:tRNA from 2 species
GGAGAGUUCGCAUAGUGGCCUAGUGCGCCGCCUUGGAAAGGCGGUAUACCCGAAAGGGUAUCGAGGGUUCAAAUCCCUCACUCUCCG